CACUGCUCGCAUUAUGCUGUUUUUGUACAGAGGUUCAUCUCUCCAUUUGCUCUCCCUUUUCAUUAUAAAACAGUACAGAUGGAAGAGAACCUUGGGGUCAAAACAGAGGAAGGAAGUGGUGAAGCAAAGAAUGGAGAAUACAACUGAAAUAUCAUUGUAAGGCAACUAUUAAUUGCUUGUCAGUUUUCACUACUGCCUAUUUUCAUAGAUUGCCUGAGGGGGAUUUUCCUUGUGAUUCACAUCAAAUAGAACAGAUACUAUCAAGUGCCCGAAGUUCUGGAGUGUGACUUCUGAAUUGAAUUCUGCAUUCCUGAACUCUAAAGCUAGUUGCCCCAUAACAUCGUUGGUGGAACAUUCCUCAUGGAAGAAGGCUGAUCAAUGGAAUCAAGUGCUUUUUUCUUUGCUGUAUCCUGGAUUUCUGAACCAGACAGUCUUGCUCUCUGAACAACUUCAGUUAAAAAUUCCUCAUGUUCGUAAGUGGGUGAAACUGAUCCUUCUCUUUGUCAUUAUUUGCUGCGUUCACAAACUUUGCUAAUAUCUGCAGUCUGAAGGUUUUUCAGUCAGGAUAUAAAUGGACAACAUUCCCAACACUCCAAUAUAGAAGAGGAAACUCAAUUAUCUGGCAUUCGAUUAACUGAAUUUUGGAUUAUCCGAACAAGAUCGCAAGGUCCCAAUGUCUGUGGUCACAGAUUUCGUUCCUGUUAAUCAUGUGAACCAUCAUAAACCAUCAAAGACACUGGCCACGUUCAACAGAAGACAAAGUGCAGACAGAAGGUGUCAGCAAGCCAAACCUGCUGCCUUUCCAGGACAUUGAGAUCUUGGCUGGCAUUCUGAAACUACAUAAACAUAUUGUAAAAUGUGGAAGGUGUUAUACUUUUGGCUUAUAUAAUCAUUUCAAAGGUUUUCCAGUUAUCAAAUUUGUUGGAAACCACUUUGGGACAUCAUGAGGGUAGUGAAAGGAGCAUUUCACAUUUUUUCUAAAUUCUUCUUGACAUUCUGCUCAGGUGGCCACUCACAUGAAUGGACCAUCAGUACUUUAUGAACAGAAAUAUGUUAUUAUUUGUCAGUAUCGAGGCAAACAAUCACAAAACCAGGAUUAGAACAGAGAGAAUGCACUGUACAUUAUGCACCAAUUUAGCCAAGUGUUGCUUCCAUUGCAACAGUAACUACUCUUCAGAAAGCACUUUGAAACAUCUAAUGGCUGUGAAAAUGUACAAAUUUGGAAACAUGGAAGUAAACAGAAGUAAGCCAUUCGACCCAUCGAUCUUGUUUUGCUACUCAUUAUGGUUAUGGAUUCUUUUCAAAUUCAAUACCCUAAACCCACUUUCCUCCAUUUCCAUUUAGCCACAAGAGCAAUGUCUACUUCCUCUUGAGAAUGUGUUUCUAUGGUAAUGAAUUCCAUAGCUCACCACUCUCUUGGUGAAGAGAUGUCUUCCCAUCGCAGUACUAAAAGGUUUACCCUUUAACCUUAAGCCAUAGCCCAAUAAUUCUGGACCUAACCCAUCAUCGAUAAAUCCUUCCUGCAUCUAAUCUGUCUAGUCCCAUUAGAAUUUUAUCGGUUUCUAGAAGAUUCCCCAAGCCCAUCAAUCUUCUAUUUAGACCUAUAUAAAUAAAACCGUAAAACCCAUAUUAAUGUAGAUCUCUCUCGCUUUUGUUUCACUUGUCACCAUAUGAUUCUUCUUGAAUUUGGUAGGGGUCAAGUAUGACUCAUUUGGUAAUGCUUGACACACUUUAUGGUUUUCUACAUGUUAGCCUGUGCAACAAAUUCUAUGCAGACCAGAUUCUCGCUGAGAUAGAUAUCUUGAAGUUUAUUAAUGACACUCAGUAUUUACAUGGCUACAAUUUUACAAACUUGCACAUACUUUCUGGCUUGUGUGCUUACUGAUGUUAGUUACACAUAGCUGACUGAAGACAUUGUUGAGAGAGAGAGAGAGACAGAGACAGAGACAGAGACAGACAGACAGACAUUGUGAGACACAGAGAGAGAGA